CACGUUUGCUCGGCUUUAUCUUUAAACUUACCAUUUGGCGAGGGAGGCGGUGUCUGGGGCUUGCCGUACUGGGUGGCCAAGAGGUCCACAACCAGGGGCUUCUGGUCCACGGGACUGGCGUCGUGAUGGGCAUGGUGGCUCUCCAUGUUGUAGGUUCGGUAUCCGUGCAUGUUUGGUAUGCGUCUUGUGAUUCAAAGUUGGCUUAUUCAGAGGAUAUUAACGAAGGCAGUUAGUUGUUGACUGUGCGGCGGUCACAGCUCGAGUGUGCUGCUCUCAGCCACCCCGCGCCCUUUUAUACCGCUGCGCUCUGCAGGCAAAUGGCCGCCGUCGCUGGGAGCGGCCAAUCGCAGCGACCCAGGCAGGUGCGAGCGGGACAGCCUGAGCGGAACGGUGCUAAUCGUGCGGUGCUGAGAGUGGAUGCGCUGCUGUGCUCUCGGUGCUGAGCGGCGAUAACGAGGCGGGACAAAGCGGAGGAGCAGGACCCGGAGCAGCGGGAUGGAGCCGCGUUCUCUGCUCGGCAGGACCAUGAGGAGGUCCUGGCCAUGCUGGCCAUGGCACUCCCGAGCUGGAGAGAGAGAGAGUUCCGAUUUGGUAUUCAUAGCGGAUGAGCGAAUCUUUUGUCUCGCCCGCCCGCAGGCGGUUGCUCCGCAGGAGCGAGCGGGACGGGCGGGCCCCCUUAAUAAUGGGAUUUUAUCGGCUUCAUCAAGAAUGAUAUGGCAUUAUGCCGCUCAGUCGGGUCGGGUGGUGUGUGUUUGCCGGCAGAGAGUGUGUGUAUCCCACUAUAUAUUUGUAUGUAUGUAUUAUCGAUCGCCUGCCAGCGAAUUAUUUGCGCUUUUAUGAAGUCUUAAUAUUAUGCCGCACGUUUAACAGCCCCACACUGCCAUGGCUGCCAUGACUUUCGGGUUUUGGGGGCUUCAUCCACCCCGUUGGAGCGGCGGCAGGGGUGUCCAGCCAUAACCAUUUGGGAACUGCUGUAGCGAGAUAAUGGCCGCCCCUGCCCGCAGAACAUGGAAAAUGGAAAAUGGGAACCCAGUUGCCGGGACUUAAUUUGAAAAGUUUUCGGUUUCGUUGGGCAAAACAUUUAUUAUGAUGAUAUAAUCAUUCCCAGCGUACCAACUGUACCAGGACCGGGAUAGUGCCUCCUCUUUUGGGCCAGCAAACCGGCCACUUGCCACUUGCGCAAGUUAGCUUGGAGGUUUGGCCAAAAAAAUCGUGGGGUCCACCCACAACUACCUGCUGCCCGGCUCAAAACGGGUUAAGCUCGCGGAUCAGGGCUAAGUCGGCGCAAAAAAAUAACCCAGUUCGCUAGUCCGUUAAUUGCGUUGCCUGGACCUGCGCGCCCCUAAUCCCUUCGACAUCAUUAUUAUGUGUUUUUAUGACUUUCUAAUGAAAAGGACAAGGGAUUGGGAUUGGGAUUGGGAUCGGGCUAGGGAUCGGGAUUGGAUUCCAAGUCAAGCCCUUGGCUAAUCCCAGCAAACAAACAAACAAACGCCCGCAGAAGAUGGCGAUGGCUAGAUCGGCGGAAUGCCCUGACUUCGCAACCCGGUCUCGUUGUGCGAUUAUAGUCCAGGGUCCCUCGAUUCCGUCUAAAUGAAAGUAUGGCACAGCGUGUUACCAAACUGCGACGAUUGUUCAAGAUGCUGCAAUAAAGUCUAACUCGAAAGUGAAACGAGGACGAAAGCGAAACGCUGCAACUGCAAUUGACUAAUAAUCUCGCUGAUGGCAAACGGAUUAACACGGCACACACAGCGAGAAACCAGGCCAGCUUUUCGAUCUGUCCCAGUUACGGUUCGGGUUCCAUUGUUAUGCAGUACCGGGUAACCAGGAAGGAUACCUCGCUCCUGCCAGUUACUUCAAAUUAUUGGGUUAUAUUGCGCCCGCAAUUUGCAUUGGCAUUAACUCGCCCGGCAUAGCCGCAUCGCAACAACUCUACCUACUGGCCGACCUGGAAAAGGCCCACAUGCAAGCCUUCUUGCCCCGGGAAAGGUUCAAUUCUCGAGGUUCGGGGUUCAGGGCUAACAGCUCACAGCUCAUAGCUCAUAGCUCAAACCCUACCCACAAGCAACAACCUUGCCUAUUGUCCACCUCCGCCGGCCUUUGUCUUUGACUCCGUCCGGAGAAUGGACGCGAAACGACCGCUUGGGUUAAGUCGUCAAGCGAGGCUCUGCGGCAGCGACAGUAAAUACCCUUUAUGGCGAUCGGGUGGGUUGGAUUGGAUUGGGAUGGGUUGGAUUGGCUUGGUUAGGCGAAAGUGUCCGCCGGCGGAAGUACCUUCCUCGUUUCAAUACUCAAUCCUCUAUCUUCCAUCUCGAUCCGCAAACACUUUCGCAUUUUCCCGGGCCGGCAAUACCCGGAAUAUGGGAAGGCGAAUCCCUGCCGAUUGUUGCCGCUUUAUUGCACAUUCUGCACUCACAAAGCGCCGAUCUCGCUGAUUAUGCCCGUCAUCAUGGCAAGUAAAUGGCCAACACACUGGCCGGAUUGUCCGCGCAAUAGAAAUGCCGGCAAAGAUUCGCAAAACGCUGAGGAAAGGGCGGGAAAAAGGCAAAGGCAGUGCAAAAAUUGGCAAUAAAACGGCGAAAACGAGGGAAU
ensembl:ncRNA asRNA:CR43948 antisense RNA:CR43948